ACUUGAAUGUUGAAGAGGAGAGUAGAAAAGGUACAUCCUUUCCAGAGAGAAUCGCCAUGGCUGCAAGCGAUUCAUGUGAUGACUUUUUUGAAAUGCACCUCGGAGUCUGUUACUAAAAGGCCCUAAAGCUUAGUAAGUGACAGCGGCAACCUCCCGUUACGAGGCUUAAGUGGGGAUAUGGGCCCUUUUAGUAGAAACCAUAUCCAAACAGAGUGGAACCGCGCCAUAAGCGUCUCUGUG
rnacentral:ncRNA from 1 species